rnacentral:rRNA from 1 species
CUAGUAGCUGGUUCCCUCCGAAGUUUCCCUCAGGAUAGCUGGUGCAUUUUAAAAUUAUAUAAAAUAAUCUUAUCUGGUAAAGCGAAUGAUUAGAGGCCUUAGGGUCGAAACGACCUUAACCUAUUCUCAAACUUUAAAUGGGUAAGAACCUAACCUUUCUUGAUAUGAAGGUUCAGGUUAUGAUAUAAUGUGCCCAGUGGGCCACUUUUGGUAAGCAGAACUGGCGCUGUGGGAUGAACCAAACGUAAUGUUACGGUGCCUAAAUUUACAACUCAUGCAGAUACCAUGAAAGGCGUUGGUUGCUUAAAACAGCAGGACGGUGGACAUGGAAGUCGUAAUCCGCUAAGGAGUGUGUAACAACUCACCUGCCGAAGCAACUAGCCCUUAAAAUGGAUGGCGCUUAAGUUGUAUACCUAUACAUUACCGCUAAAGUACAUGAUUUAUAAUACAAUUUCGGUUGUUUUUAUAAAAUUUUGAAACUUUAGUGAGUAGGAGGGUACAAUGGUGUGCUUAGAAGUGUUUGGCGUAAGCCUGCAUGGAGCCGCCAUUGGUACAGAUCUUGGUGGUAGUAGCAAAUAAUCGAAUGAGACCUUGGAGGACUGAAGUGGAGAAGGGUUUCGUGUGAACAGUGGUUGAUCACGAGUUAGUCGGUCCUAAGUUCAAGGCGAAAGCCGAAAAUUUUCAAGUUUUAAUGAA